rnacentral:lncRNA from 7 species
AUGAAGGCGGCUGCGCUUAGCCUCGUGAUGCUCCUCGCUGCCCUGUGCCACACAGUGGAAGCUCAGCCACUUGUGCAAGAGCAGACUGAUGAGGAUCUUCUUCAGGUGAGUGCCCGGGCAGCCAUGCUGAUUGUGCCCAAGGGUGGCCCAGCAGGGAGCUCCGCAGGGAUGGGUGGGGUCUGCCCCUGCCUGGGCACAUCCAAAUCUCUUCCAUUUGCACCCUACUCCCCGUCUCUUUGGGUCCCCAAAUGGCCACGUUUGGGAGCUCCAAAUGCCCUCUCCUUGGGUCCUUGUAUCCCAUCCUUUUGGAACAAACAAAUCUCCUUUCUCCUUUGGAAAUCCUUAGAUUUCCAAAGCUAAAGAGAUGGGAAUUGGCAACCCAAUUCCCAUCUCUUUAGGUCCCCGAUCCCCUCUGUUCCAUUUUCCCCCAUUCUCAUCUCUUUGAGAUCCCAGUUCCUCUCUAUCUGACAUCUCCAGUCUCUUGUCAGCCCUAUUCCCCCCCCUCUGGGUCCCCCAAGCUCCUGCCCUGUCCCUGUGUCCAUCCCCAGCCCUGAGCUCCUCCAUGGGCAGAGGCGCACACAGACCUUGGCAGCCAUGGGGGUGGGGGCAGACCCAGGGCCAACCAGGGGGCUCGGAUGGGGACACCCAGUUCUGCAGUUCCUCAUGGCUGCCCUAUGGCUCUUCUUCCCUAGGCAUUGCCGUCUGAUGCUGUUGAAUUUCUUCCUCUUGUGAGUUGAGGGGUGACCCUGGGGCAAGGACGGGGCUGGGAUGUGUUGCUGUCCUCUCUGUUCCCCUGGGACUUGGGGACACCCCUGGGGCUCCAAGGCAUCUGUCGGGCUCCCUCCUACUUCGGGUGGUCAAUGGGCAGGGGAAGGAGGCAACAGGGAGUAGUUGGGGCUGAGCAGACUACAGGACCACAGUGUUCUAGUGCCCACAAUGGGUCCCUGCACCUUCAGGGUGUCCCUGUGUGUUGCACUGCCCCCAGCAUGUCCCACUGUCCCAUUACUCUCGGUGUGUCCCUAACACCCCCUUUCGCCCCAGGUCGAUCUCACCAGUGCAGAGGAGAAUCUCCUGCGUGUGAGACGUGUGGCCCUGGAUCUGCGUGUCUAGGUGAGCAGCACGGGGACACCUGCAACCCCACAAGGGCACCUGGGGCACCCUGGGUGUCUCCGGAGCCCUGAGGACCAGGCAUCAGGGGCUGGGAAUGGAUGGUAUGGAGGGGACUGUCCCUGGCCUGUUCCAACAGGGAGGCCUGGGCACUGUCACCUCCAGACCUUCCCUUGCGCUCUAUGGGGCUGUGCUGAGGAGGGGAUUUGAAUGGGGCAUGUUCAGGGUGCCCUAUGGAUGGCCCAGGGUCACCAUGCAGCUGGGACAGGGGAUGUGGCUGCUGUUCCCAGGGGACCCACGUCCUGCCCUGGGUCUCUUGGCUGCUGCCCAUCCUUCUCCUGCCCUAAGUCCCUGGGGACAAACCUUGCAGGGACAAGGCUUCUCCUCACCGCCAAUGCCCUUGGACAUCUUCUGAUGACCAGUGCUGCCCUCUAAUGACCAAUGACAGCCUCUGAUGACCGAUGAAGACCCUGAUGAUCAAUGACCCCCUCUGAUGAUCAUUAAAUCCCUCGGCAAAUCUAUACUCUGUGUUUCUGUGUCCUUGUCCUCACGCUCAGCAGGGACUACUCAGGUCUGCCUCUGCCUGGCAGUGGCCACCCCAAAGUGCUGGGAGGGGUCCCCAGCUCCAUGCCACACACGCCAUGUCCUAUGUCUCUGUGGGCUUCCCCACCCUCUCUCGUCAUCUGAUCCAAAAUCCUAAAGGACGGAGCUGCUCACGCUGCUGAGCAGCUCCAGUACCCUCCCUCUGCUCUCUCCCUACUUGUCCUUCCAGUUCCGCCCAAGGGACGGAAUUUACUGACGUAAGGGGAGAGUAAAAACAGCAGUAAGGUGAGAGUACAGCCUGAGCAGAGUAAGAGUAAACCCGGUGCAAAGCGUGAGUAAAAGCAGGGGGAAAGUAAGGGUAAAGAUGGACUAAAGUGUUAGUAAACGCGAGUAAACAGUUUGUAAACCCAGAGUAAAUUGUGAAUACAUCCAGAGUAGAAGGGUGAGUAAAUCCUCAGUGAGGACUGAGUAAAUCCGAAGGAAAGUAAGAGUAAAACCAGAGUAGAGAGUGAGUGAAUCCGGAGUCAAGUGUAAGUAAGCGUGCAGUAAAGUGUGAGUAAAACCCAGAGUAAAUUGACGGUACACCCAAAGUAGAGAAUGAGUACACCCUGAGUAAGGUCUGAUCAAACCCAAAGUAAAGUGUGAGUAAACCAGUAGCAAAUUGUGAGUGUACCUGGGGAAGAGUGUGAGUAAAACACAGAGAAAAAACAUGGAGAAAAGUGUGAGUAGAACUUGAGUAAACUGUGUGUAAAACCCAGAGAAAAGUGUGAGUAAAACCAGGAGUAAAAACCUGGAGUAAAUUGAGAGUAUGCAUGAAGUACAGAUGGAGUACACCCUGAGUAAGGUCGUAAUAAACCUGGAGUAGAGAGAGCAAACCCAGAGAAAAAUGUUAGCAAACAUGGAGUAAAGGGUGAGUAAAACCUGUAGUAAAUUCUGAGUACACCCAGAUUAGAGAGUGACUAAACCCAGAGUAAAGUGUGAUUAAAGCUACAGUAAAUAGUAAGCUCUCCUGGAGUAGAGAGUGAGUAAACCCAGAGUGAGGUCUGAAUAAACCUGAAGUAAUGUGUGAGUCAACUUGGAGUCAUGUGUAAGUAAAAGCAGAGUAAAUUGUAAGUGAACCCAGAGUAUAGAGCGAGAAAAUCCUGAAGUAAGGUGUGAGUACACCCGGAGUACAGAGUGUCUGAAACCCAGAGAAAAGUAAGAGUACACCCAUAGUAAAGUCUGUGUAAACCUGAAAUAAAGUGUUAGUAAACCCAGAGUAAAGUGUUAGUAAACAUGGAGAAAAGUGUGAGUUAAAGCCAGAGUAAAUUGUGAGUACACCCGAGGUUAGAGUAAGAGUAAAUCUGGAGCAAAGUGUGUGCAAAUCCAGUGUAAAGUGUUAGAAAAACCAGGAUAAAUGGAAGAAUAAAUCCAAAGUAAUGUGUGAGUAAAACAUGAGUAAAGUGUGAGUAAAACCCAGUGAAAAUUGCAAGUACCAUACUGAGCAAUGUGUGGGCACACAGGGAGUAAAGUGUAUGUAAAAUUGGAGUCGGGUGUGAGUGAACCCAGAGUAAACUGAGUAAACCUGGAGUCAAGAGUGAGAAAAAAACCUGAAUAAGGUGUGGGAACACACAGAGUAAGAAGUUGGUGCACCCAGAGAAAAAUGAGAGUAAACCCAGUGUAAAGUGUGAGGUAACCCAAAAUAAUCUGUGAGUAAAAUCCGAGGGAAAGCUUGGGUAAACCUGUAGUAAAGUGUGAGUAAACUUGAAGUAAAGUGUGAGUAAACCUGGAGGAGAGAGUGAGGAAAAGACUGAGUAAUGGGUGAGUAAACCUCGAGUAAAGUGUGAACAAAUCCUAAAGUAAGGUGUGAAUAAAGUUGGGUUUUUGCAGUGGAAAUUUCCAGUCACAAAGAAAGCUGCUGAACAGAGCAAGGUUGAGACAAUCCGACCUGGGUAGAAUUGGCACAGGCAAUACUAGGUAAGGUAGUUAUACAGGGCAGGGGAGAGUCCAGAAGAGGAGAGAACUAGUGGGCAGACUGUUGAAAAUAUUGUCCUCCUAUUGCCAUAAAAAGUACAGAACACACCUAAAAACAAAGGGUUGGUAACAGACCUUGAAUGGAAAUGUCAGGUAGCAGCAGCGUGAGAAGGUUGUGAGCCUGAGAGGCUCAACAAAUGAGUGCCAGGAGAGGCUUUACCUGUGUCGGACCCAGGGUAUAUAAUGGGAUGGAUUUCACUGACUACUUGUGCAAUUUCUCCCUUGUCAGUAGGGGGGGUGCGCCCAUUAUUGCACUAAUGAAUAAACUGCUCUUCCCAGAGAUCUUGACCUGAUUAGAAACUGUUGACCUUGAGCGUGUUUCUCACAUAGAUGUACAGGUGUGCCAUCCUGGGCUGAGAGUGAGUUGGCCAUAAACAAGACAAGUUUGCAGUCAGAACCUCUUAUAGCACAAUCAGAAUGUUUUGAACAGAGCAAGGCCAUCUCAUUUUUCACAGGAUUCUCCUCCCCCAAGUCUCCAGCCCUCAGUCUGUUGACAUGGCAAUGCUCUUCCAAGCCUUUGAUACAAUUCCAGGCACACCUC